AAUGAACGCUGGCGGCAUGCCUUACACAUGCAAGUCGAACGGCAGCAUGACCUAGCUUGCUAGGUUGAUGGCGAGUGGCGAACGGGUGAGUAAUGCAUCGGAACGUGCCUUUUAGUGGGGGAUAACGUAGCGAAAGUUACGCUAAUACCGCAUAUUCUCUGAGGAGGAAAGCAGGGGACCUUCGGGCCUUGCGCUAGAAGAGCGGCCGAUGUCGGAUUAGCUAGUUGGUGAGGUAAAGGCUCACCAAGGCAACGAUCCGUAGCGGGUCUGAGAGGAUGAUCCGCCACACUGGGACUGAGACAAGGCCCAGACUCCUACGGGAGGCAGCAGUGGGGAAUUUUGGACAAUGGGCGCAAGCCUGAUCCAGCCAUGCCGCGUGAGUGAAGAAGGCCUUCGGGUUGUAAAGCUCUUUCGACUGGGAAGAAAUCGCACCCUCUAAUACAGGGUGUGGAUGACGGUACCAGCAUAAGAAGCACCGGCUAACUACGUG
rnacentral:rRNA from 1 species